rnacentral:rRNA from 1 species
GACGAACGCUGGCGGCGUGCUUAACACAUGCAAGUCGAACGAAAAGGCCCUGCUUUUGUGGGGUGCUCGAGUGGCGAACGGGUGAGUAACACGUGAGUAACCUGCCCUUGACUUUGGGAUAACUUCAGGAAACUGGGGCUAAUACCGGAUAGGAGCUCCUGCUGCAUGGUGGGGGUUGGAAAGUUUCGGCGGUUGGGGAUGGACUCGCGGCUUAUCAGCUUGUUGGUGGGGUAGUGGCUUACCAAGGCUUUGACGGGUAGCCGGCCUGAGAGGGUGACCGGCCACAUUGGGACUGAGAUACGGCCCAGACUCCUACGGGAGGCAGCAGUGGGGAAAAUUGCACAAUGGGCGGAAGCCUGAUGCAGCAACGCCGCGUGCGGGAUGACGGCCUUCGGGUUGUAAACCGCUUUCGCCUGUGACGAAGCGUGAGUGACGGUAAUGGGUAAAGAAGCACCGGCUAACUACGUG